AGUCGAACGAAGGCUUCGGCCUUAGUGGCGCACGGGUGCGUAACGCGUGGGAAUCUGCCCUUGGGUUCGGAAUAACAGUUAGAAAUGACUGCUAAUACCGGAUGAUGACGAAAGUCCAAAGAUUUAUCGCCCAGGGAUGAGCCCGCGUAGGAUUAGGUAGUUGGUGGGGUAAAGGCCUACCAAGCCGACGAUCCUUAGCUGGUCUGAGAGGAUGAUCAGCCACACUGGGACUGAGACACGGCCCAGACUCCUACGGGAGGCAGCAGUGGGGAAUAUUGGACAAUGGGCGAAAGCCUGAUCCAGCAAUGCCGCGUGAGUGAUGAAGGCCUUAGGGUCGUAAAGCUCUUUUACCAGGGAUGAUAAUGACAGUACCUGGAGAAUAAGCUCCGGCUAACUCCGUGCCAGCAGCCGCGGUAAUACGGAGGGAGCUAGCGUUGUUCGGAAUUACUGGGCGUAAAGCGCACGUAGGCGGUUAUUCAAGUCAGAGGUGAAAGCCCGGGGCUCAACCCCGGAACUGCCUUUGAAACUAGAUGACUGGAAUCUUGGAGAGG
rnacentral:rRNA from 1 species